rnacentral:rRNA from 1 species
UACGUAGGGCGCAAGCGUUAUCCGGAAUUAUUGGGCGUAAAGAGCUCGUAGGCGGUUUGUCGCGUCUGUCGUGAAAGUCCGGGGCUUAACUCCGGAUCUGCGGUGGGUACGGGCAGACUAGAGUGCAGUAGGGGAGACUGGAAUUCCUGGUGUAGCGGUGAAAUGCGCAGAUAUCAGGAGGAACACCGAUGGCGAAGGCAGGUCUCUGGGCUGUAACUGACGCUGAGGAGCGAAAGCAUGGGGAGCGAACAGG